ensembl:lncRNA novel transcript
AUAUUUCUCCUCCGUUGCCUUAGGGGGUUGCCUUUGAUAAGGGCUUUGCUCUUUCAUCCAGCACUUAAGGAGCAGAAUGUAGGCCGGCACAGUGGCUCACACCUGUAAUCCCAACCCUUUGGGAGGCCGAGGUGGGCGGAUCGCGUGGUCAAGAGAUAGAGACCAUCCUGGCCAACAUGGUGAAACCCCGUCUCUACUAAAAAUACAAAAAUUAGCUGGGCGUGGUGGCGCACGCCUGUAGUCCCAGCUACUCGGGAGGCUGAGGCAGGGGAAUCGCUUGAAGCUGGGAGACAGAGGUUGCAGUGAGCCGAGACUGCGUCACUGCACUCUGGCCUAGCGACAGAGUGAGACUCUGUCUCAAAAAAAAAAAAAGAAGAAGAAGAAGCAGAAUGUAACUCAGAUGGUCUUCUUAAGGAAGGAUUUCCCCACCCAAGGAGAAACGCAGGGCUUUUCCCAAGCUCUUCCCUUUAACUGUUGGUUAAAGCAGUUGGUGCUGGGUUCCAGAGAAGAGCUGGGCCCUGGUAAAUUUCCCACUACCCAAAAUGAUGAUAGGAUCCUGUUGGGAGUGUCUUACAUCAGGACUGCCUAAGUCCUCCAAAACUCCUUCCCCUCAGCAUUUGCAUAGCCAGAGGGGACUCCAGCAGAAUGAGAAUAGGACUUUUAGGAAAUAAGGUAGUUCUCUAACCAGGACCAUCUCUAGCUCCCUGAGCUCUAGCCGAAGAAGGGGAGUAAGUAAGGAGGUCUCUCUCACAGUCUCACACAAAGCAGAUUGCUCACAAAUUGACUGAAGGUAAAGCACCCAGGAAGCAACUGCCUACAAAAGCUGCUCCGGCUGGGCGAGGUGGCUCACGCGUGUAAUUCCAGCACUUCAGGAGGCCAAGGCGGGCGGAUCACUUGGGGCCUGGAGUUCGACACCAGCCUGCCCAACAUGGCAAAACCUCGACUAUUAAAAAAAUACAAAAACUGGGGGCCAGGGGCAUGGCUCACGCCUGUAAUCUCAGCACUUUGGGAGGCUGAGGCGGGUGGAUCAUCUGAGGUCAGGAGUUCGAAACCAGCCUGGCCAACAUGGUGAAACCCUGUCUCCACUAAAAAUAUAAAAAUUAGCCGGGCGUGGUGGCACGCCCCUGUAAUCCCAGCUACUCCGGAGGCUGAGGCAGGAGAAUCACUUGAACCCGGGAGGCAGAGGUUGCAGCCAGACGAGAUCUCGCCAUUGCACUCCAGCCUGGGUGACAGCAUGACUCUCAGGAAAAACAAAAAACAAAAAACUACACACACACACCCCUCCCCCCACCAAAAAAAAAAAAAACUGCUCACAAGAGUGCGCCCUCUACUGGAGGGCGAAGAAACCUCGUCAUUACAGGCCUGGUACUGUGGCACUCCGUGAAAUUAGCCAUUAUCAGACAUCUACUGAACUGAUUCGCAAACUUCCCUUCCAGCAUCUGGUGUGAGAAAUUGCUCAGGACUUUAAAACAGAUCUGCCGUUGCAGAGUGCAGCUUAGUGGUGCUUUGCAGGAGGCAAGCAAAGCCUAUCUGGUUGGCUUUUUGAAGACACCAACCUGUGUGCUGUCCAUGCCAAACGUGUAACACCUAUGUCAAAAGACAUCCAGCUAGCACGCCGCAUGCGUGAAGAAUGUGCUUAAGAAUCCAUUAUGAUGGGGGAAACUUCAUUCUUAAAAAAAAAAAGUCUCUGCUUCCUGUCAUUGGUAGUUCUGAAUGUUAGAUAUUUUUUCCCCAUGGGGUCAAAAGGUACCUAAGUAUACGAUUGUGAGCAGAAAAAUAGGAGACAGAAGUCAGGUGUUGUCAGUUUUCAAUUUUCAUUUGUGUGUGAAUUUUUAAUGUAAAUGUAGGUGGGGAAGUAAAGCAUUAAUGCAAGUC